rnacentral:rRNA from 1 species
AACGAACGCUGGCGGCAGGCUUAACACAUGCAAGUCGAACGCAUCCUUCGGGGUGAGUGGCAGACGGGUGAGUAACGCGUGGGAACGUGCCCUUCAGUUCGGGAUAACCCAGGGAAACUUGGGCUAAUACCGGAUACGUGCGAGAGCAGAAAGAUUUAUCGCUGAAGGAUCGGCCCGCGUCUGAUUAGCUAGUUGGUGGGGUAAUGGCCCACCAAGGCGACGAUCAGUAGCUGGUCUGGGAGGAUGAUCAGCCACAUUGGGACUGAGACACGGUCCAGACUCCUACGGGAGGCAGCAGUGGGGAAUAUUGGACAAUGGGCGCAAGCCUGAUCCAGCCAUGCCGCGUGAGUGAUGAAGGCCUUAGGGUUGUAAAGCUCUUUCGUCCGGGACGAUAAUGACGGUACCGGAAGAAGAAGCCCCGGCUAACUUCGUGCCAGCAGCCGCGGUAA